UUUGACCUCGGAUCAGGUAGGGAUACCCGCUGAACUUAAGCAUAUCAUAAAUGGGGAAAGAAA
rnacentral:rRNA from 1 species